rnacentral:rRNA from 1 species
GACGAACGCUGGCGGCGUGCUUAACACAUGCAAGUCGAACGAGACGAUUGAAAGCUUGCUUUCGAAAGUCGAGUGGCAAACGGGUGAGUAACGCGUAGACAACCUGCCUUUGAGAUGGGGACAACAGUUCGAAAGGACUGCUAAUACCGAAUGUUGUAUAUUUUCCACAUGGAAGAUAUAUUAAAGAUGGCCUCUAUUUAUAAGCUAUCGCUCAAAGAUGGGUCUGCGUCUGAUUAGCUAGUUGGUGGGGUAACGGCCUACCAAGGCGACGAUCAGUAGCCGGUCUGAGAGGAUGAACGGCCACAUUGGGACUGAGACACGGCCCAGACUCCUACGGGAGGCAGCAGUGGGGAAUCUUCCACAAUGGACGAAAGUCUGAUGGAGCAACGCCGCGUGAGUGAAGAAGGGUUUCGGCUCGUAAAGCUCUGUUGUCGGGGACGAAUGUGCAGUAUUUGAAUAAAGUACUGUAAUGACGGUACCUGACGAGGAAGCCACGGCUAACUACGUGCCAGCCGCCGCUGUAAUAC